rnacentral:rRNA from 1 species
AAUCUGCCUCUAGGUCGGGGACAACAACUGGAAACGGUUGCUAAUACCCGAUGUGCAGCAAUGUGAAAGAUUUAUUGCCUAGAGAUGAGCUCGCGUCUGAUUAGCUAGUAGGUGUGGUAAUGGCGCACCUAGGCGACGAUCAGUAACUGGUCUGAGAGGAUGACCAGUCACACUGGGACUGAGACACGGCCCAGACUCCUACGGGAGGCAGCAGUGGGGAAUUUUCCGCAAUGGGCGAAAGCCUGACGGAGCAAUACCGCGUGAGG